UAUGUUGGCUUAAAGGGGCUGCCAACAUUCUGUCCUAUGGAGGAAGGUCAAGUCGGAUCGAGUCAUGUUCGAAAUGGUGGUAGGUCAGAUUGGGCCGAAUCAUAUUCAAAGUGACGUGAGAUUGAUAUGACCGAGUCACAAUUGAGAUUCUUGGGCGCUAUAUUUGUAUGCUUAAAGUAAAUUGAUUGUAUGUUUUUAAAAGCUCGAGCUUUUGAGAUUAAUAGUUAGCGUCAGCGAUCCGACAUACUAAUUUUCUACUAGUCUUAUCAAAUCUUUUUUUUGACCCAAAAUUUCAAACUAGUUU
rnacentral:lncRNA from 1 species